UACGUAGGGGGCAAGCGCUAUCCGGAAUUACUGGGCGUAAAGCGCACGCAGGCGGUUCGCCAAGUUUGGAGUGACAGUUGUCGGCUCAACCGACAAAGGACUUCAAAAACUGGUGAACUUGAGGACGAGAGAGGAACAUGGAACUCCAGGUGUAGUAGUGAAAUGCGUAGAUAUCUGGAAGAACACCAAUGGCGAAGGCAAUGUUCUGGCUCGUUUCUGACGCUCAGGUGCGAAAGCCAGGGGAGCGAACGGG
rnacentral:rRNA from 1 species